rnacentral:rRNA from 1 species
CAAUAGCGUAUAUUAAAGUUGUUGCGGUAAAAAAGCUCGUAGUUGGAUUUCUACCGAAGAUAGCCGGUCGGGUCUUCGACCUUGUAUCUGGUUUUGUCUUUGGUAUCCUCAUAGGGAACGUUUCUGCGCUUUAUUGCGUGGUGCGGUAUCUCUGACUUUUACUUUGAGGAAAUUAGAGUGUUCACGGCAGGCAAACGCCUUGAAUAUAUUAGCAUGGAAUAAUAACAUAGGAUCUUCGUCCUAUUUUGUUGGUUUCUAGGGCUAAGAUAAUGAUUAAUAGGGAUAAUUGGGGGCAUCUGUAUCAACGCGUCAGAGGUGGAAUUCUUGGAUUGCGUUGCGACAAACUACUGCGAAAGCAUUUGCCAAGGAUGUUUUCAUUGA